AGACCAUUGAUUGGCUAUAUGUUUCCCAUGUUGCUUUGUGGAGUUGGACGUAACACCAUUUAUUGGAACUCCGUUUCCCGUUCCAUUUUCGGAGUUGGAUGUAAGACCAUUUGUUGGCAAUCCGUUUCCAGCUUUUAUUCUUUUUUUGAACCUUGCUUAUUUGCUUAUUGCUUUGUGUUGCCUAAUUCCAAAGGAUGGUACUUGCUUGGAUUAUCUACAUAUGAUCUCAAGAGAGGAACUCCUAUGAAGUUUUG
rnacentral:lncRNA from 1 species